UUCAUUGCAGGGAGUGGGGCUAGAUGACCUUUAAAGGUCCCUUCCAACUCAAACGAUUCUAUGAUUCUAUGAAAAAGGUCAUGUCAGGUGUGAUCAGAAACUUGAGUAAUCCUGCAAUCAGUGGUUUGAUUAGUUAUGAACAUUCAUAAGUUGGGAAAUUGAAUACAUGAAACGUUGGAGAAUGGAAAUGUAUGAAAUAAUGCAUGAAGUGAGCCCACAGCCUGGCUCUGUGAUGGAGGUGCUCAUUGAGGGUCCUGGGCUCUGUAUACUGCUGUGUUUGGUUCAGCUGUGCUGCAGCAGGAGAUGGCAGAGUUCCCAAUCAGCAGCACCAGUGUGCACAGAAAUUGAUGUGCUUCCUAUUCUCCUUACCCUGGUGAAUUCCUUCAGAAGCAUGAAUGUUGCUGCUCCUGUGCUCAUUGCAGCCGAAUGGUGCACUUUCAUAUCUGUUUCUUAGUUCUGUAGGCACAUAAAUGCUUGGUCAUUCUGGCAAUUUGUCUCUUUUUCAAGAAUAUGGUUUUCCCUUUGCUGGUAAUUCCUGUUAUGAACUCAUAGUUCUUGCUGAGCAUUAUUCCUGCUGUCUGCGUGGAUGGCUGCAAGGUUCAGCUCUGAAUGUGGCUUUUAAAGGGAUAUGGAAUCACUCUGCUGUCAUUCUGAAAGCUUUAUCCAACCGCUAGAUUUCUUUUAGUUCUUCAUGCUUCUUUUUCUUUUUUUGUUGUAUCAUAUGGGGCACGUUGUUUACCAUUUUCUCCACAGAUCUGUCCUGAUACUGUAAUUAUAAAGUUGUUUAGCUAUCUGUUUUAGUGAAUGUAUCUGUAUAAAACAUUGGAUGUUAUGAUUGUCUUGCUAUAAUGUUACUAGAUGUAUUUCCCAAGCUACUAAGUUUGUUUGGAGAUGAAAAUUAGAUGCAAAAUAGAAAUAUAAGCACCUCCAUUCUGUAAUCUUGCCAUAAUUUUCUCUCUCAUCAAUGUAGUAUCAGUAAUUAAUGCUCCUAGAAACGUACACUUUCUUUGUUGCUAUGGGUUUAUCCGAGAUCUCAGCUAAUCACAGAAUUAUUGUUGCUGUUAUCCCAGUUUUCUUUCAAGUCCCCAGCUGCCUGGUGUGUGAUACUCUGUCUUUUCUGCAACUGGCAAGUCAAUAGCGAAGCUAAUCUGUUUUGAUUCAUAUCAUGAGGAUGCCACAGGAGUUGGAACAACUUCAGUUGUGCAAUUGCUGCGCAUUUAUGGCUUCUACUCUGGAAAAAGAAAAUAGCUGAAUGAGAGGAGAUGAGAGAGGCUCUGAGCAAUGAGGCAGGGGACUGUCCAGAGUGAGAAUCAAGUGGAGAUAGCCAAGUGAGAGAGCGGAAAGGACAUGGGAACAAAGGUGAUAAGCCAUGAGGAAUUGCUGCAGGUGCCGGAGUGCCUGACUACAGCUUUUCUGAUAACUCAUUUGCCACUGGAACUUCCUUCCCUGCAUACUGGAACUGUUUCCUCCUGUCUCACAGUGGUCUUUGACAUCUCCUCUGGGCCAUAUUGAAAGACCUGAGCUGAUUGGAACUGCUGAAUCUGUAGGGAGGAUUUCAACAGAGCUCUGAGUACUGGGACAUGGGAGGUGUGCAAGGAGUGGGGAGGAAAAUUCUAGCCCUCCCCCUUCCCUUUGGCAGGCGCUCACUGCGAGCCUGGAAAUGAUCUUGGUGAUGGAGCUGAGACACAUGAAUUUACUGAGGGCAGGAGUGAAAGGCAAUUUGGUGCAGAUUUUGUAACAGAGAGGAGGCUUGGAAGAUGGUUAAUGUGACAACAAUUGCUGAGAAGGUCCCCAGGAGUGAAAUGGAGAACUGCAGACCGUCACAUUGGAGUCUGUACUGAGCAAAUCAGAAGCUCUGGCCUCAAACUGCUCUGGGUGAAGACAGUAGCUGAAGCAAUUACUGAAGCAUUAGUGACUGUCCUGGAAGUUCUUGGAAGGGCAGCAGGAUGGAACUGGCAAUGCUGUGGCUGAGGGAGGCGGAGGUCAGCAGCCGAGGGCUAGAGCAGGAGCCACAUCCUCGAGUUGCAGCAGCGCAGUUUGAUGCUGUGGUUGUGCCAGGGCUGCUGGGAGAAGAGCUGGACUGGCUGAAAACUGCAGUCCUCUCAAGCUGGUGGAAGAGCUACGGGUGCUUGCUGCUAACUGCUUUUUCACCUCUUGUCCACCCCUCCACCAGCCGCUUGGGGCCACCAUUUUAGACUUCAGCUGGAGCUGCAAAGCGUUAGUGAUCUUGUUUUCCAGAGAUCAUAUUUGAAGUAGAAAGAACUGGAUUUUGCCUUCAUUUACGCCUCAAGGAGCUGCCACAGGGGGAGGGGCCAGUGUUUGCCAGCUUGCUCUGCUCCCUGCAGCCCUCACUGGGGAGCCGCGCCACAGGAAAUGCUGAGCAGGAAUCAGGCAUGAGAGCAUCGUGCUGGGUUGGUUUUGCUCUUGGAAACAGAAGGUGGAGCAAGCCACAACUGAGACAAGUGCAUCUACUGCUUGUGUGAGAUUUUACGCUGUCUCAUUUGGAUUGUAUCUCAAGGAGGAUUUAGAGGAGCUUGCAAGCUGGAGAUCUGCUGACUUCCCAAAGCUUGCAGGCAGCACUCUUCCCCUGCAUGUGACAUGUGCAUCGCCCUCAAAUUCAGAGGAUGGCUCACAGCUGCUGUGACUGCAACCAGGAUGUAUCUGGGGCUGAGAGUUGCCCAUGGGAGCCAGGAGUGCUGCACCACCACUCUGCUAUGGGAGCUGCUGCACUGUGCCCCAGAUUGCAGCUGAAAUCUUGAUGCCGGCUGAGCCCAGGACUCCCAGCUCCUCCUGCUUCUUCCCUUGCUCUUCACGGUGAUACGCCGUGCUGGCUUUCCUGGGGCCGAGAUGAUCUGUGAUGGUGGUGGUGGCUCUCCCAGGGUCCCCUAUGAGCCAUUUUGUGGUGUUGGAGCAUCCUGACACCAUCAGCUGACCUCAGGACAUCGGUACCCAUGGUAGCACCUCGCAACUGGGGAUCCUGCAGAAACCAACAACCAAUGUGGGUGUCUGGGGGCACGCUGCAGGGCAAUGGCAGGAGAGGACAGGGAAACUUGCUGCCUCACCCAACCACCAAGCUGCCUUAGGAAGGCUUGUUUUAGCACGAGGGCGCUUUGCAUCCCCGCCGCUCUGAGCAGAUCUGACGGCUCUCAAUGCGUGCGAAUGAGGCCGCAGCCAGCACGCAGGGAGGAUGCAAGCAAGCACAAGUUAGUGCUUGUGUUUGCCACUGAUAAAUGUAUUAGUCUUUAAAGCGGUAUUUAAACUACAACCCUUUUUCAGGCACCUCAGCACUCCGUUAUUUUGCAGGCCUUGUAAAGGAAUGUGAUUUUGCCUUUUAACUGGAGUGUAUCUUAUGCUAAGCAGUGAGAUUAAGCAUAGGGAUCCAAAAGAAGUUGCUGAAUGGCAGAAUUGCCUUUAUAAAUAACAUUAAUAAUUUAUCCGAUCCAGGGGUUUUUGGGUAAAUGAAAUACCUGCCUCUGUAUAAAGCCCACUGAAUAGGAACACAUCUCCGCUUUUAUGAGGCUUGGAUUAAAGAAGGGAAAUGCUAAGGGGCUUAUCUUCGCUUCAAUUUGCAGCCCUUCCGGCUAAUGGCAAACUCAUUUAAGAAGCUCCUGUGUUUGUGCCAACUCUGCCUUUAUUCUCGGUGCCGGAGCUUGGCUGCAUUUCUCGCCGCAGUGCUGGAGAGAGCAGAGAGGAAGCAGUUUGUUUUCUUGACCUCAGAUUAUCAGACAAAAGCCAGUGAGAAUAAUUUUGCUGGAAUGCUCCCUAUUACGAAUGGUUUAAAGCGUGGUGGCUGGCAAGAUGCUGACAGUGUGGGGAUUUGCCCCACCUGCUGAAGAGGACAGGGCUGUUGGCUGAGCUGGGACGAGACGAAAGAGCGGCUGUCAUCUCUCUUCUGAGACACCUCUUCCUCAUGCACAGACAGUUGUGAAAUGGCAAAACCCAUCCUCUACAAAAACCACGAGCGGUCGCUUUUCAGCUUCUCUUUUAUGCCGGUAAAAUCAAUUGCUUCAAAGUUCACUGAAGGUGAAGGCAACAUUUGCUUUCCAUUCAGAGCUAAGCGGGCCAUCUUCGAGAGCAAACGCUCGCAAUAGGGAGAAUAGCAAAAAUCAGCAGAAAAAGUCUCUGAAUAAUUUGAACUGGGAGAGGAAAAAGCAAUUUGCUCCCAGUUAUUCCACAGACAAAAGUAUGAAUAAAAAAAUCAUGAGCUAUUUACCCUGCCCAGGCUAUUUGCAUGAGUUUUAUGCUAUUCCAGUUUUGCUUCCCUGACCCCCAAAGACCUUAUCACUGGAUCCUCAAUGCACUUCAGUAAAAAAAAAAGCAUGCUCUUUUUCUUUUCUUUUUUCUUUUCCUUUUUUUUUUUUUGCAUGCUGGAUCAGCAAUGACCAAAAGCAGAGAAAACAAAAAGGGGUCUAAAUCUGAACUGUGCUGAUGCUUGCGUGUGUGUUGACCUGGAUUAGAGACCUGGACUCCGGCCUGCCAACUCUAUCAGCAUAGAAAUUUUGUUCAAAACAGUAUUGUAAGUUUGUGUGCUUUGCUUUCAGAUAGCGAGGCUGUGGCAAAGGCAUGCGGGUAUUUACAAUCUGCUUUAGGAAAACCUGAUAGAAGUUGUUAGCUGCUCUGUUGCAAAGGCAGCUUAUGUCACCCACAUCUGCUGCUGAAGGUAGCCCAGCCAGAUGGCUGGCAUGGCACGAAGUGCUAACAUCCACGCUGGCUGCAAUGAGGAGACGAAAAUGAAAGAAGGAUGAAGACCUCAUAAGCUUUAUCAGAAGCCACCAAAAAGUUGGGAGAUUUGGGGAUUACAUCGUGUAAUUAUAUUACCUUAAAGAAAAGUUUACUGAAGAUUCCCUGUUUUGUGUUGCCAGCUCUUUUCAGCCAUUAGUAACACAUAACUUCUCAUUGUCUUUUCCCGAGGCACAGAUGGGCUAAUUUUCAGCUACCUGAUAAUUACACAUUGUUUGAAACUGUAUCAAAAGCUUCUGUUCCUGCAUUU